rnacentral:rRNA from 1 species
UACGAAGGGCGCAAGCGUUACUCGGAAUUACUGGGCGUAAAGCGCGCGUAGGCGGUUAGUUAAGUUUGAAGUGAAAGCCCCGGGCUCAACCUGGGAAUGGCAGUGGAAACUGGCUGGCUAGAGUGCGGUAGAGGGGAGUGGAAUUCCUGGUGUAGCGGUGAAAUGCGUAGAGAUCGGGAGGAACAUCUGUGGCGAAGGCGGCCACCUGGACCAAGACUGACGCUGAGGCACGAAAGUGUGGGGAGCAAACAGG